rnacentral:lncRNA from 1 species
AUGGAUAGGAAGAAGAAACAAUGGUGCUUUAAGCCAUUUAGCCUCACUGAUUCAGGAGAGAGGGGGCAACAAGAAGAAAAUGUUGAUUUUCUGCCUAGAACAAUAAAUAGUCAGCUCUCCCUGUCAGCUUUUGUGUUCCUGCCCAGUGCUGCAGUGACCUGCCCAGAUGUGACUGCUACCAGCACAAGUAAGCACUCACUGAGUAGCAUGCCUUUCAGUAAAAGGAGUCAGCAACACCUCAGUGAACUUACGUUUUGUUGUGGAUGCUACCAGACACGUGGCAUUUAACAACUGCUGUAACUGUGGAGAUCUGAG